UACUUAUUCUUAAAUCAACUAACCCAGCACCAACCAAAAUUAUCACAUAAAAGGGGUCAUUAUUUGAAACUCAAUCAACCAUAAACCUUGCAAAAUUAUUCUCCAACAAAAAACCCUAGAAAUCUAAAGUAGGAGGAGUCGAGAGUAACACUUACUGUAAUCAGGAGGUGCUUCAUCCACGUUACACUUUCGAAAUGCCAUUUCAUCUCCUUUCCAGCCAACUUUCAAGCUUCGAUCCUUCUUAUUUUUUCUUCUUCACGUCUUCGUCUCGACUCUUUUGCUUUUUGUUUUCGUCUCCUUCUUUUGAUCUUCAUCUCCUUCUUCUUUUCCUCGUCUUCGUCUCCUUCUUCUUUUCUUAUUUUAAUUUCUGAUUUUGGUUUCCUUAAAUUAGUUUAGCUUUGAUUUUAUUUCUAUUUUUUUUUUAGUUUUAAGUUUGGUUUAUGAUUUAUGUUAAUUGGUUUUUUGUAGAGAAGAUUUAUAUUAAGUUUGGUUUAUGAUUUUUAUUUAUUUUAAAUAUUUACUUUUUAUUUUUAUAUUUUCUGACUUGGUAAAUGUGGCCACGUUGGCCAAUAAUUAGAUGAUUUAUCAUUGCCACGUAAGCAAAAUAAGGAGUUAACGAUGCUGGGGAGAUGACACCUUAUAUAUAUGCAAACAAAAUAGUACUUUAGAAGAUUUUUCCACUAAAAUUUAAGGUUAGAUAGUUAUUUGCAAGUGAAUUGAUGGCAUGUUUACUAAUCAGGAUUGGGAGUGAUAGGUAUGGUAAUCACUCCUUUUCAUUUGUUUACUUUAUUUAAUGGUUGGAAUACUCUAAGGGAAAGGCAUAAAAUUAGGAGAAAAUAAUGGGAGAAGUUUUCCUCCCAAUUUCUUCAGCAGCCAUUUUCUUCUUCUUCUUUUUUUUCUGAGAGAGGAACAACCACAUAUCAACAUCAAGGUGAGUUUUAAUUCUUUAUCAUUCAUUAUAUAUAUAUAAUUUUUGAUGAUGCAUGUAUGAUGCAUAUAUUGAUGGUUUAUGUUUAUUAUCAUGUUUUAUUAUUAUUUUAAUUGAAAAACAUCUUCUAUAAUAUAAAUCUGACAUUGACAUAUAUAUUUUGGUACAAUUGAAUAGUCCAACUCAAUCACCAUCACCAUCAUCAUAUUUAAUUUUAAUUUUUAUAUUAUUUAUUAUAUUUUAUAUUAUUUAUGUAUAAUUGAAAAGUCAUAAUCUAUUAUUCUCACAACUUCUCACGCUCGUCAUAUAUUUCAUAAUAUAUAUAUACUAGGUGAUUGUUACGUGUCAAGCCACGUAGUGUUAGUUUUAUUUAAUAUUUUAGUUUUUUAUUUUAAUUAAUAAUUAAAAUAGUAUAAUUAUUUGAACGAUUUGUUUUAUAAAAAUAAAAUAUGUGUCAGUAUAUUUAGUAAGUAAAACAUAGUUGUGUUAUAAUAAUGUAUGUUAUUAAUAGUAAAAUGUACAUUAAUCUUCUAAUUGAAAAAAGUUCUAUUAUCUCAUUUCAUAUCUAAUAAUAGCUACACAACUAUAUAUUUAUAGACUUUCACAUUCUUUGCAAAUUACUAAUAAGCACCAAUAAUAUUUUCAUAUUCUAAUAUUUUUCAACCUUCUCCUCUUGGUGGUAAAAUUAAAAAUAAAACUAAAAAUAAGCACAAACAUAUAAGGUAAAUACUAAUUACAGCCCAUUUCAUUUUUUUUAUUAUUUUUUUAAGCCCAAGCCCAAAAAUCUCUAAGCCAACACAAUCAAUCUUCUUUUAUAUUAUCUUUUCUAGAUAUUUUAUGUAUAUUUUUCUUUUUUAAAAAAUAAAUAAAAAAAUUAUUAAUAUUCUCCCAAGAUAGGUUUGUUAGAGAGAUAUGUGGCUAAGAUGAUUUUUUUAAUUUAAAAAGAGAUUAUUAAUAUUUAAAAGAUUGUUUAUUUAAAAGAUUGUUUAAUUUUUUGGGUUUAAUUAUUGGGUUUAUUUUUUAACGGGAGAUCAAACCUAAUCGUUAAAUUUAACAGAAUAUUCUUUUAUUUUUAAGUAUAUUCUGUUAAACCAAGAAUGUUAAACCAAGAAAUGCCGUUAGAUAGGCACUUUUAAUAUAUAAAGAUAUAUAUAUAUUUCAUAACCUAUAUAUAUAGGUCUUCUCUAUCUACCCAUAUAUAUACAUAUAUGUGGUUCUUCUAAGGUUAUGGAUGAAAUUUCUACAAAUGUUGGUGCCUUAGCAGAUUCUAUAUCUAAUAUUGUCCCGAAGUUUCAAGGAUUAAUUGAUGCAAUAUCUGAUAAGGAUGUAGCUGAGAUGCAAACCAAUUUAUUCACAGAAAUAAGCAAGAUUAAUGGCCUAACUCCAAUGCAGUGUAUUCAAGCAACCAACAUAUUGGCUAAAGAACCUCCAUUGAUGCGAGUGUUUUAUGCAAUAUCAGAUGAGAUGAAACUGAUAUAUAUAUCCUGAAUAUGUUGCAAAAUGAUGCAUAAUUUUAUAAUUGCUAGAUAUUUGGGAUUUUGUUUAUCUUUAUGUUUCACAUUAGAAUAUUUUCAUGUGGAGAUUUUAUUUAUGGUUUGGUCAGAUAUUGUUUAAUUGAAUAAUAUGAGGAUACUUUUUUUAGCA